AUGCAAGAGGCAAAGAAAUCUAUGAAGGAAAAAGGUAUUAAAGAUGAGGAUGUUAAAUAUUUACCUCCCAUUGAAGAAAUACAUGGGCUUGAUACACCACCACUGCCUAAGGUGGUAGAGGUAAACUCUCUUAGGAAGUUCAAUGAAAAUGAUAAUCCUCACAACAUGCAUCCUAGCCAAUGCCUUUAUGAGUUUGAAAACUACAUUAGAAAACAAGACCACUUCAAUUUAAAUGUUAUGAAACACUUGAAAUAUAAUUCUAAUAUGAUUGCUCGCUUGAGUGACUUAUUAUUUAGAAUCUCAAAUGAUGUUAGAGGUGUUGGAAAACAUGCUUCUAUAGUUCAAACCCAUUUAGAACAAGUUACUAAAUCACAAAGAGAAUUACUAGAUGAAAUGAAUCAUAAUAUACAUGACUUUGUUGUUAGAGUUGCAACUAGAGGAGGUAAAAGGACUCAGGAACCACUUUAUCUUGAGGGACACCCAAAAAGAAUUGAACAAGAUUAA
rnacentral:rRNA from 1 species